AGUGAGCGCUGGCGGUAGGCCUAACACAUGCAAGUCGAACGGCAGCACAGGAGAGCUUGCUCUCUGGGUGGCGAGUGGCGGACGGGUGAGGAAUACAUCGGAAUCUACUCUGUCGUGGGGGAUAACGUAGGGAAACUUACGCUAAUACCGCAUACGACCUACGGGUGAAAGCAGGGGACCUUCGGGCCUUGCGCGAUUGAAUGAGCCGAUGUCGGAUUAGCUAGUUGGCGGGGUAAAGGCCCACCAAGGCGACGAUCCGUAGCUGGUCUGAGAGGAUGAUCAGCCACACUGGAACUGAGACACGGUCCAGACUCCUACGGGAGGCAGCAGUGGGGAAUAUUGGACAAUGGGCGCAAGCCUGAUCCAGCCAUACCGCGUGGGUGAAGAAGGCCUUCGGGUUGUAAAGCCCUUUUGUUGGGAAAGAAAUCCAGCUGGCUAAUACCCGGUUGGGAUGACGGUACCCAAAGAAUAAGCACCGACUAACUUCGUGCCAGCAGCCGCCGUAA
rnacentral:rRNA from 1 species